rnacentral:rRNA from 1 species
UUAGUAAGUCUGGGUUUGGGCUAAGGGGCUACGUGGCUGUGUGCGUGCUAGAUUUUAAGGAGGAGGAGGACGCCGCCGCCGCCGGGUCUAGGGAGUUGGUUCUCGACCCACUCAUGCUGGUUACCUCCGCACAAGGUCACCCCUUCGUGGAGUCUCGACUAGUCUAGCCUCUCCUCGUCUAGCCUACUGAGGACCGGCAACACAGCGGCGGGUGGGCCAAUACGUCUCGUCUAGACUCGAGCGGCCGAUGAUUCGAGCCGGGAUGAAACACGAGCAGUGACCAGUGACGGAGGGGUAGGCUCCAAGGUCCUCGCCACCCAAGCAGCGAAGGAGGAAGUGGAGCAGCCGACGUUCGUCUAUCGUUACGUCAAGUAAUCGUCUAUGUUUGACCCUAAUCGUCGUGUUCUUCGAGUUACUCGUUCUUCGUAAGCCACUCGUACUUCGUGUUCUACGUUUCCGACAUCGAAAAUACACUACAUGGUGGUUCUAUCAUUACGUCGAAAAUUACCGGCACGAACAACCCAACACUAAUAAAAUCAGAUGAAUCAGAACGGGCACAACAUUGUUUUCAUUAGGAGAGUACGAUACAUCGUAAACUAUACAUACAUAGAGAAGACAAACACAGAAUAUACCCUAGCAGUCC